AUAUUGCACAAUGGGGGAAACCCUGAUGCAGCCAUGCCGCGUGUGUGAAGAAGGCCUUCGGGUUGUAAAGCACUUUCAGUAGGGAGGAAAGGUAGCAGCUUAAUACGCUGUUGCUGUGACGUUACCUACAGAAGAAGGACCGGCUAACUCCGUGCCAGCAGCCGCGGUAAUACGGAGGGUCCGAGCGUUAAUCGGAAUUACUGGGCGUAAAGCGUGCGCAGGCGGUUUGUUAAGCGAGAUGUGAAAGCCCCGGGCUCAACCUGGGAAUUGCAUUUCGAACUGGCGAACUAGAGUCUUGUAGAGGGGGGUAGAAUUCCAGGUGUAGCGGUGAAAUGCGUAGAGAUCUGGAGGAAUACCGGUGGCGAAGGCGGCCCCCUGGACAAAGACUGACGCUCAGGCACGAAAGCGUGGGGAGCAAACAGGAUUAGAUACCCUGGUAGUCCACGCCGUAAACGAUGUCUACUCGGAGUUUGGUGUCUUGAACACUGGGCUCUCAAGCUAACGCAUUAAGUAGACCGCCUGGGGAGUACGGCCGCAAGGUUAAAACUCAAAUGAAUUGACGGGGCCCGC
rnacentral:rRNA from 1 species